AGAACUUGUUAACUGGAGGAGGUGGGAGGGCUGUGGAUUUGUAGGCAGAGCAGGUGAUAAUGUAACUGGGAGAGAUUAGACUAAUUAUGUGAAACUGGCAAUUGACUGCCAGGUGUGCAAGAUACACAGCAGGGGAGAGCAAAGGGGCAGUUGGUGGGGAGUAAGCAAGCAUGAACUUUUAGAUUAUUUUCCAAGUGUGAUUUCAAGCUUUGGUGUUGCAUCUGAACGUUCCCUAAUACUGUGUGUCCAUCUGAUAGUCAGGAGAUACUCAUAUAUCAUUAUGAAUGAACGAGAAUUCCACUUUGUGGUAUUGGUAUAAUAUCCUUGAAAAAAUCCUCUGAAGUUUGAAACUUCUUGUUCCUCUGGACCAUGUAUUAUGGAGCUAAUAAGAAACCCAAGAUUUCAUCUUGGAAUGUGAGAAACUCAGCAGAAUCUACUAAAUAUUGCCUACUUCAAGCCAAAAAGUUGAUCAGCUAUUGUGCAAGACACGAAGUCUCCAGUCCUGUGACAAUUCAAGGUUCAGUGGUACCAAGAAGCCAGAGUCUCCUGCCUCUGUCUGUUUUGCUUUUGAAGGUAGUUGUCCCUUGCUCCCCAGUAAAUUGGGGAUUACUAGAUCCAACAGGUCAGGCACUGCUUUUGGACUGGGUUGAUGUUUGCUGCUUUAGAAAAUGAUCAUAGCUGUGGUUAGGUGUUAGUGCCGGAACCUGCAGCUGGAGGUAAAAGAGAAUCCUUCCUCAUAGCCUCAGAUACCAAUAAGAUGACUGUUAUGACGUUUUUCAUUGAAGGAGUUCAAAGAGUUUGAGAAAUAUUAUGGUUCAGAUCAUGCAACGAAAAUCUAUGUAUACUGCAAAUACUUAAUAGAUUUCUGCGAUGGUAUUAUGUACUGAUUUUUCUUAUGGUUCAGAAAUGUUUUGUUUAAUUAACUGCUCACUUUCAGUAUAAAGAACCCCUUUUGGCAGAGUGACUCCAUGUGAGAUCCUCUAUCAGAAAAAGUUUUUGCCAAAAUAAUAAUUACCGUUUUAAAACUUGUGAGUCUAAGAGGGAAUACCUCUUGCUCCUGUUGAGGCAUGCACAUUAUCUGCAAUAUUCUUCUUUUAGCGCAGCUUUUAAUUUAUUUGGCCCAUUUCAUGACAGUGGUAUGAUUUCUUGGGGAGAAGUAUGGGGAUCACUGAAAAAAAAAAAACAAAAAAAAAAACCACCUUUAUGAUGUUUCCUUAUGAGAAAAGCUCAACUUCAGAGAGCAAGAGUUGGCCUAUGCAGAGCUCAUGGCAAAAUCAGGUUAGGUGUAGAACCUGAACGUUGUAGGUCUUUUCUCCCUCGGUCACCUUUCUUCCUUCCCCCCUCAUCAGUACAGCCUUUGGAGCUGGUGGGAAUCUGAAUACUUGAAGAAAUUCUAACAACUCUGGAAAAGGUUAUGAAUAAAAGCAAUAAGGAAUGCUGGAUGUGAGAAACA
rnacentral:lncRNA from 1 species